rnacentral:tRNA from 1 species
GUUGUUGUGGUGUAAACGGCAGCAUGACUUUCUUACCAAUUAGUAGGUGCGGGUUCGAGCCCCGCCGGCAACUC